rnacentral:lncRNA from 1 species
UUCUCAAGUUAUUUGGUUGAUUAAGUUUUAAGAAUGAAUUUAUAAAUAAAGUCAAUACAAGUAUAUUUCAAAACUAUGCACUAGUUAUACAAUCUAUAUGUUUCUUAUUUUCCCAUUAUAAUCUGAAUUCACUACAAGAAAACAUGCCUAUAACGAAGAAAAAUUACAAGGAAAUACAUUCCUUGUAAAUUUACGAGAAAAUUAUUACGAUUUUACGACAAAACUGAAUUUCGUCGUAAAGUCGUAGUAAAGUUAAUAAGGAAAAU